ensembl:lincRNA Gm16892 predicted gene, 16892
GGUCGAGGGGCGGAGCCUCGAUGAGCUUUGAGGAUUUUACUGUUUUGUUUUGUGCUGUGCUGUAAUGUAGACAGAUUUUAUAAAAAUCAUCCCAUGGUCGGAAGCUGUUCCGGCUCUCUCAGCACAGUGACUAGUCUGAGCAAGCUGCGAAACAAAGCAGACGGCGUCCGUCUUUCAGAGAAUUAUCAUUAACGACUCUGGUGUGAAAUUUGCUACAGCGUAACUGAAAUCAUGCACCAGUGUAGAAGCCACAGAUACCAGGAAGAUGCUCACAGAUGACACUGUUCCAGGAGCGGAGCACCUCAGUGCUCUCCGCCAACACCCACUCACCAAAAGCCAGAAGGAGCCUGCACUUAAUGGGCUCUAUUAAUUCAGGGAAAGUGAUGCUUGAUGUCCGGCUUGUUGAUCCAGGUCUGGAUGUUGACAACCUCUUUCCUAUCAUCAUCUGACAUGGACGAGCUGUCGAUUUCAUCUGGGAGGGAAGAGAAGGGUUAAGGCCAUCAGCACCUUCUUAGCAUGUGACACUUCUUAGCAUGUGACACUUCUUAGCAUGUGGACACUUCUUAGCAUGUGAACACUUCUUAGCAUGUGGACACUUCUUAGCAUGUGGACACUUCUUAGCAUGUGGACACUUCUUAGCAUAUGGACACUUCUUAGCAUGUGACACUUCUUAGCAUGUGGACACGUCUUAGCAUGUGGACACUUCUUAGCAUGUGGACACACUGCUUAGCAACCACAAACUAUUGGUUGUGUUCUUAAAGUAGGGCAUGACAGUGAGAAACAAAAGGAAGCACUUCAAAUCCUGCUGGUUCUGUUACAGAGACACGGGAAACAACCCUUACAGUAAGCAAGUCCACUCAAACUCCUGGGAGUACAUGUUGCACUUUUGAGAAAAGAUGUCACAACUGUGGCCUGGCAUGUCAGUGAGAAGCACCUUUCUCGAGGCAGGGAAGGCAGUGUUCCCCUUUGCCAGUUUCUGACUUAAUAAACAGCACAGGGGAAACUUCCUGAAGGGAACACCAAUAGCUUAUGCUCUAAGAACAACAAUCGACAAAUGGGACUCAGAAAACUGCAAAGCAGCUGUAAGGCAAAGGGCACUGUCAAUAGGACAAAAUGGCAACUAACAGAUCGGGAAAAGAUCUUUACCAAUCCUACAUCCGAUAGAGGGCUAAUAUCCAAUAUAUACAAAGAACUCAAGAAGUUAGACUCCAGAGAAUCAAAUAACCCUAUUAAAAGAAAUGGGACACAGAGCUAAACAAAGAAUUCUCAACCGAGGAAAGUCUAAUGGCCAAGAAGCACCUAAAGAAAUGUUCAACAUCCUUUGAUGUUUUGGUAAAUCUCCAACCCAAAUAUGCCCCAGCAAUGAAAACACAACUCAAUUAAU